GUUAAAAAGCUCGUAGUUGGAUUUCUGGGAGAAUGCCAAUGUCCGCUUCCGCGUGUGCAGCGGCGUCCUCCCAUCCUUCUGUUAACGCCUCUUGGCAUUCAUUUGCUGGUGGCGGGCUCAGAUAUUUUACCUUGAGAAAAUUAGAGUGUUUCAGGCAGGCUAGACCGGAAUACAUUAGCAUGGAAUAAUGGAAUAGGACUAUGGUCUCUUUGUUGGUUUGAGGGACUGCAGUAAUGAUUAAUAGGGAUAGUUGGGGGCAUUAGUAUUUAAUUGUCAGAGGUGGAAUUCUCGGAUUUGUUAAAGACUAACUUAUGCGAAAGCAUUUGCCAAGGAUGUUUUCAUUAAUCAAGAACGAAAGUUAGGGGAUCAAAGACGAUCAGAUACCGUCCUAGUCUUAACCAUAAACUAUGCCGACUCGGGAUCGGGGGCGAGGUCUAUCCGCCCUUCGGCACCGUAUGAGAAAUCAAGUCUUUGGGUUCUGGGGGGAGUAUGGU
rnacentral:rRNA from 1 species